rnacentral:rRNA from 1 species
CCUACGGGAGGCAGCAGUGAGGAAUAUUGGUCAAUGGGCGCGAGCCUGAACCAGCCAAGUAGCGUGAAGGAUGACUGCCCUACGGGUUGUAAACUUCUUUUAUAAGGGAAUAAAAUGUGACACGUGUGGCUUUUUGUAUGUACUUUAUGAAUAAGGAUCGGCUAACUCCGUGCCAGCAGCCGCGGUAAUACGGAGGAUCCGUGCGUUAUCCGGAUUUAUUGGGUUUAAAGGGAGCGUAGGUGGGUUGUUAAGUCAGUUGUGAAAGUUUGCGGCUCAACCGUAAGAUUGCAGUUGAAACUGGCAGUCUUGAGUACAGUAGAGGUAGGCGGAAUUCGUGGUGUAGCGGUGAAAUGCUUAGAUAUAACGAAGAACUCCGAUUGCGAAGGCAGUUUACUAAACUGCAACUGACACUGAGGCUCGAAAGUGUGGGUAUCAAACAGGAUUAGAUACCCCAGUAGUC